rnacentral:rRNA from 1 species
UACGGAGGGUGCAAGCGUUAUCCGGAUUUACUGGGUUUAAAGGGUGUGUAGGCGGGCUGUUAAGUCAGUGGUGAAAUCUCCGGGCUCAACCCGGAAACUGCCAUUGAUACUAAUGGUCUUGAAUUUUGUUGAGGUAGGCGGAAUAAGUCAUGUAGCGGUGAAAUGCAUAGAUAUGACUUAGAACACCAAUUGCGAAGGCAGCUUGCUAAACAAAUAUUGACGCUGAGGCACGAAGGCGUGGGGAUCAAACAGG